CACAGACUAUCUCAUGUGGCCCAAAGGCCCCAGGAAAAGAAAGAAAAUUUUCAGACAGUACAUUUGAAAGGCUUAGAGGUUCCCUUCCAGGAGCUGAGGGCAAAGGGCAAACCUGUCUUCAGCAAACGCUAAUGCAUUACUGCACAGGUCCCUUUAGUCCAUGCUGGCCAGAAAAUCUAUGUUUAAAGCUCUGUGGGUUUUCUAUGAAUUUUGUCGGCAUUUACUCCAUUAGAGAGAACCACAAGUAUCAAUCUCUUCAAGUUUGCUUCUCCAGUAAAACGGCCAAUUCAAGAAUGUCUCAUGGAUUCACCUCGUCUUAAGAGAAAGAAUAAAGGAUGGACGUAUUGCAAGGCUUGCCAAGUGGUACCACGUCCAGACCCGGGAUCUGAACCAGCGAACCCUGGGCCGCCAAAGCAGGACGUGCGAAAUUAACUGCUGCAUCAUGAGACCAGCCCCAAGAGAAAUAACUUUUUAUGUGUAGACAAUAUCAUAAAGAGUGGUGAUCUAGGCUGGAAGUCCCUGAUAUUUCCAUAACACAAUCCCAGCCAUUUCUCACAUGUUGUAUUUUCCACAGUGAAUAUAUUUAUCGUGGCAUGGGGGAAUCAGACUUUCAACUCUGAGUUCAUUCUGCUGGGAAUUUUCAGUCACAGACCCAGCUGCACCUUUCUCUUCUCUCUGGUCUUGGUCAUCUUCACAGUGGCCUUCAGGGGGAAACACCGCCAUGGUUCUCCUCAUCUACCUGGACACUCGGCUCCACACUCCCAUGAACUUCCUCCUCAG
rnacentral:lncRNA from 1 species